CUUAUAAUUUUUAUUUUAUUUAUAUUAGAACUUUGUAUAGUUGGUUAAAAAUGACUUUCAAGACAAUUGUCGACAAUUUUACGGUUGAGUGAUUUUUGGAACAAAUGCGAAGUAAGGGUUAUUUUGAACGGACAUAAACCGAGUUCACCGCUUUUCAACAUACCCACCAUUUUCACGAUUUUGUCAUUUAAAGCUUGGCUAAUGUCAUGAAUUUUCCCGCCCUUAUUGUUAACAAACUGCAAUAAACAUCUGAGUAAAUGCCAGGACUUUCUGACAACCAGUGACAUGCAGUUUUGGGCAUGAUCCAAUGAAACCUUUCACAGUAUACAAUUACGAGAAGACUGAAGUUGUAGCCUCUACAAUAACCCAAAUCAUCCACAAAUUCAACCAAAAUGAAUCAUUUAAUGAUAGGCCACAUCAUUUGGUCUUUAACAUAUCCGAUAUCGACUCUGAUGGCUGUUCAAAGGUCACGAGAGUUCAAUGGUGGUCACGGUAGAACCUUUGGAGCAAUUUUAGUAAAGCACCAUUUGCGCAGAAAUUGUUAAAGAGCACCACAGUCUUUCCUUAGUGACAUCUAAACGGCCGUCUGGCGUAAACAUCGAAUUCUGUAGACCAAAAAACAUUCAUUAUGUACCAAAAAACAUCAGUCGUGUUUACAUAGACAUUUGGCACGCGCCUUGUCCAAAAGUCUUGCUUUUCACCGGAUUUUGGUCCAAUCGAGCAAAUUUUGCAUCAGAUUUAACAUGGUUUAGACGAUGAAAACCACCACCAAUAUCAUAAAGUCAGCUUGAGUUUGCUUUGCGGGACAAGUGGAAUAAAAUUCCACGGGAUCACAUUAAACGUCCGGGAUGAUCAACUCCACGGCGCUGUGGAGAUUGCACUGCACCACGGGGCUGUAACAUUUUGUGUUAGGACUGUGAGUUGAUGAUUCGACAUUAGAUGUUUCGUUUACCUAUUGCGCACGAAAGAUGACAAGGAAACAGUUUUUGUUCGAUAUCGAUCUACUGUUAAAAUUGUUAAUUUUCAAGAACAAUUUAUUUUGAAAGAUUAUCAUUUCUAGUAUAAAUUUUAUUUUUGAAAAACCAAGUGUUGCGUUUUCAUUGGCAC
rnacentral:lncRNA from 1 species